CCCCUUUUCCACACACUCCCCUCCCAGGAAUUCAUGAAGAAAGAAGAAAAGAGACAGACAGAGAGAGAGAGAGAGAGAGAGAGAGAGAGAGAGAGAGAGAGAGAGAGAGAGAGAUCACGAGUCGAGUCGUCUUGACAGAAAGAGGGAGGAGGAAAAAGAGAAAAUAUAGGGAAUGAGAGCAAGAAGGUCUAUCUACGAGAGGUAGAGACAGACAAGGAGAAAGAGACUGAAUUUGAAGUCUGACUGGCUGUGUGUUAACCCGUGUCCGAGCGUUCUCUUAACCAAACGUUCUCUCACUUUCUGGGAGGGAUGGACCCUGUGGAGAGGAAGCGAUGAAAACCCGAACUCACAAAGACCCGAGAGCUGCGGGAGAGGAGCUGGCUGUAAGCUGCUUUAGCAGGCGCUCUCAGGGACAUGAUUCGUCCGAGAGUGAGGGAGAGGACCUUGUACCCCCACCCAAGAGACAGAAAGUUCAGGACUCCUCGUCCAAUCCCCCAACUUCAACCCAUUCAACUGACACCACGACUUCAGCACCAAACCCAACCUCAUGCAACAGCCAAUCACGAGAGAGCGACAAUGAAGAUGGCCAGUCGCAAGGCAGCCGCAGUUCUGUCGGAGGAAGCCUAGCCAAUAGCAGCAGUAGCAUUAGCAGCGGGAGGGACAUUGAUCAGGACAAUCGGUCAUCCUCCCCAAGUCUGUCUGCCUCCCCAUUGGCCAGUUUGGAUUCUGAGUCAGACUCCCCGGACUCUCCAAAGCAGGGCAGUAAGACUAAGGACAGUGGAGCAUCUAAAUCUGGAGGGGAGGAGAGGAGGGGACAAGGGAGAGGGGAAGAGAGUGGUCCAGGGGAACGCAGGAAUGGUGAGGGAGCGACUGAGGUGGAUUUAUGCUCACUGAAAUCACCAUCUUCCCUCUGUCCUCCCCACCGUGGAGACUCUUCGGCUGUUGCUAUGAGCGACAGUGGCAGCAGAAAGCCGUACUUCUCGCUCGACUCCAAACUGCCAACCAAGAUGGAAUUCUCUGGGCCUGUGGCAAGUGAGUCUCUGCACGGUUGCAGCCGCAUCAACCCUAAACCAGGCUCGCAGUGUGGAGGAAAAACAGGAGUGGGUGGCACAGAGUUUACCCAUGGUAACCCCAAUGUUAGCCAUGCUCCUCCACUACCCCCUCCACCUGCUCUUAAGCCUCUGGAGGCAGGGCAAAAUGUUCCAGGUGACGUUAAAACAGAGAAGCCAGAGAAGUGUGACAAGGCUGCCCCACCCUCUCUGCUCCCACAAACUGUCUCCUUACCCCAGCAGGCCCCAGCCCCUCCACACACGCAUCACUACAGUCCUACUACCUGGUCAGGUGGCCAUGUGUCCAGCUGCCCCGGCAGCUGGGCAUACACCCGUUACCCAGGCGUCCACCAUGCACCUCCUGUGCAACAGCAACAACUACCCUCUGUCUACAACCCCCCCUCCUCCGCCCGUCACCCCUCCCACCCCCCAUACCUGCCUCACUUGCACCCCCACCCACACAGGGAGUAUCUGCCCAGGUAUGGUGGCCCGGCUGAGCGAGAAAGGGCAGUGAGGGACUUUGGGAUUAAGGACAGUGGUGCUAGCACAAACAGCUGUGUCAGCACCUGCAGCACUGGGGCAACCAGUGCCAACCUGGGUCGGGACUUUGGGAAUCCACCACCUGGUCAGAACCGGGACUAUAGCAGCAUAGGGCCUCAGGCGCCAGGCCGGGAUGGACCUCGAGAAAGUCGAGAAUAUGGUCCAGGUUUCAGAGAGCGUGAUACUGGGAGAGACUUUCCCUUACCAAACCAGCAGCACUUAGCACAGAGCCGUGAGUUUGGACCUGGAGGAGCAGGAGGCGGGGGCUGUCACCCUAGAGAUAAAGAGGGUAGAUGGGGAGAGUUUGCAGGGCAAAUGAGGGAAUCAGGGGGAAAUAAUAAUCUUAGUAACAGCAGCCAAGGAAACGUUAGCACUCCAAGCGCUGGUUUGCCUUCCGGGCAGCUGCUAAGUCGUGACCCAUCCAGUUCUCCCCAAAACAGCUCAACCCACCCUCCUUUGUCCACUUCGAACUCAGUCACCCCAAACAAAGACUAUCCAUCUUCAGCAGAGGUUAGUGUGCAGCAGCCCGGACAGGGGCAAUCCAGUCAAGCCCCCUCUACAGGGACAGAGGCUCCCCCCACUGGACACUUCUUAAGGGAUUACCCCCCACCAGGAGCACCCCCUUCAUCUGUGCCUCAUCCUGGUGCAUCCAGGGAGUACCCUAGCCCUACCGGACUUGC
ensembl:lncRNA